rnacentral:rRNA from 1 species
UACGUAGGGGGCAAGCGUUGUCCGGAUUUAUUGGGCGUAAAGAGCGUGUAGGCGGCCAGAUAGGUCAGCUGUGAAAACUCGAGGCUCAACCUCGAGAUGUCGGCUGAAACCAUCUGGCUAGAGUCCGGAAGAGGAGAAUGGAAUUCCCGGUGUAGCGGUGAAAUGCGCAGAUAUCGGGAAGAACACCGGUGGCGAAGGCGGGUCUCUGGGCAGUAACUGACGCUGAGGAGCGAAAGCGUGGGGAGCGAACAGG